rnacentral:rRNA from 1 species
GACGAACGCUGGCGGCGUGGAUUAGGCAUGCAAGUCGAACGGUAUCAUCCUUUCGGGGGUGAGAGAGUGGCGAACUGGUGAGUAACACGUAGGUUAUCUACCCUCAAGACGGGGACAACCCAGGGAAACUUGGGCUAAUACCGGAUGUGAGCAACUUUUAGUUGUUUGAAAGGUGGCGUAAGCUGUCGCUUGGGGAUGAGCCUGCGUCCUAUUAGUUAGUUGGUGAGGUAACGGCUCACCUAGGCAAUGAUAGGUAGGCGGCCUUAACGGGUGGUCGCCCACACUGGGAUUGAGAUACGGCCCAGACUCCUACGGGAGGCAGCAGUCGAGAAUAGUCUACAAUGGUCGGAAGACUGAUAGUGCGACGCCGCGUGAACGAUGAAUCCCUUCGGGGUGUAAAGUCCUUUUAUAUGUGAGCAGUGCUUCUUAUAUUAACAGUAUGGGGAGAGAGAUAUUAGCAUAUGAAUAAGCAACGGCUAACUCCGUGCCAGCAGCCGCGGUAAACUCGU